ensembl:lncRNA
GUUUGCUGCUGCUGCUGCUGCUGCUGCUGCUGCUGCUUCCCUGGGCGUUUUCGGGGGCGAUCACACAGCAGCGAUCUCAGACUUUCCGCCCUAACGCAGGAUUUGGUGCUUCUGCCGCCAGCUCCACCUGCACCUCGCUCCGGGAGGACCGCGACCGCCUCUCGGCUGGCUUUGGACCGUCCCGGCCCAAGUCCUGGGCCGCCCUUGGGCCAGUGGCGGGGGGAAGAACUUGGUUUUGUUGUAGCCACGAAGGCGUCUUCUUUUCACAGGAGAUCACACCUUCCUGAUUUGGCCCUGGAUACUGAUGCUUUUCAAGUGCUCAGAACACUGCCAAAGAGAAUUACAGCAAGGCCUACUACUGGCUUCAUAAUAAGAAUGGAUUUUGAUAUCCUGAAGCUUCAGCCAACCAUCUCCAUCAGUCACAGGGUGUUAGGCAAUAUCUCCUAGAAGAAACACCAUUUUAAGUGAAUACAGUGUUCUGCAAGAACAUUCUCAGAGAAAAUCACUGCCUGGGGGUGCCAACAGAGAGUAACAUUGCGGCUUGGGUGGAGGUCUGGGCAUCCUGCUGCGCUGUAAGGAGAAAGAAGCCAUUUGGUUUCUGGCAUUUGUCUGCUUUUGGGAACCAGCUACCUGUGCUAUGAAAACCAAUGUCUCAGAUGAUAUGUCUUCUACUCCUCAGUGUAGUCUUCUUAGAUAACAAAGCUGCAGUGUAAAGAGAGAUCUGUGUGUGUCAGGAGGCCACUCCUGAUGUGGAGAGUGUAACAAUGUCUGAAGCACAAAGAGAAGCCAGGAGUGGACAGCAAGAUUACUGUUCCUCCUGGCCAGCAUCCCUGAUCCAUUGCCAGUCUUCCUCAGCUGGACCCAGAGGUUUUGUCAGGCUACCAGUGUGCACCAAGGCAGGCUGGCACAGCUUUUAACCUCAGCUGUUCACGCAACCAUCCCUGCUAUUCUGAGUCUGGAAUUGGAUACAUUUUGGUGGGUUUGCAGCAUUAGUAUUUCAGCUCAGACCACAAACUUGGUACUCUGUAAAGAAAUACAAAGUUGUUUGAAUUUGCAGGAGUUUACUAUCAUCCAGCCAGAAACAAAUAUAAUUUCACAUAUAAUUCAGUGAGCCCAGGAGAAUGGGUUGCAGUAUAAAAUUUAAGCAAGUGAGAUUAUGCUUAGGAGGAGCCCAGGAGAACUCACUUAAGACUUUUAACUUGGGUUCCUAGCAAUGAAAAUCUACUGACACACUCUGAAACCAUGAGCAAAGCAAAACAUGUUUUUCAUGCUUUGCUGUUGGAAACUGUCACUGUGGAAUAACAACAGUGACAAUGUUUCUAAAGAUGCUGUGCCUGUUUUCACAGGAUUUCCUAAUUUUUUAAAGGUCGAGGGAAAAAAAAAAUAUCACUCAAAUCUUUUCUGCAUUCACUUAAACUAUCUACAUUCUUUCAUUUGUUUUAAAUUAGAGGAGCCAGAAUCUAACAGAUAAAGUCAUCAGCCUCAGUUCUGCUGAGGCUUUAUUCACUUUAGGUCAAACAAUGUUAACUUGUUUUAGAAAGCCAGCAGGGACUAUUACAUGUGCAGCAUUUUCCCUCAGAAACCCUCCCCUCCCACACACACACAGUUUAAAAGAGUUCAACACAAUAAAUAUCCAACCUAUUUAAAACUGGCCGUGACA